rnacentral:rRNA from 1 species
CUCGAUCCGAGCGAAAUUAGUGGCACACGGGUGAGUAAUGCAUAGGAAUCUACCUAGUAGUAUGGGAUAGCCACUAGAAAUGGUGGGUAAUACUGUAUAAUCCCUGCGGGGGAAAGAUUUAUCGCUAUUAGAUGACCCUAUGUUAGAUUAGCUAGUUGGUAGGGUAAUGGCCUACCAAGGCAGCGAUAUAUAGCUGGUCUGACAGGAUGAUCAGCCACACUGGAACUGAGAUACGGUCCAGACUCAUACGGGAGGCAGCAGGGGGGAAUAUUGGACAAUGGGCGCAAGCCUGAUCCAACUAUGCCGCGCGAGCGAGGAAGGCCUUAGGGAUGUAAAACUCUUUCAAUAGGGAAGAUAAUGACGGUACCUACAGAAGAAGUCCCGGCAAACUCCGUGCCAACAAACGCGGAAAUACGGAGGGGGCAAGCGCUGCUCGGAAUUAUUGGGCGUAAAGGGCAUGUACGCGGUUCGGUAAGUUAAAGGAGAAAUGCCAGGAAUUAACCCUGGAGCUGCUUUUAAUACCGCCAGACUAGAGACCGGGAGAGGAUAGCGGAAUUCCUACCGUAGAGGUGAAAUUCAUAGAGAUUAGGAGGAACCCCACCGGAGAACGCGACUAUCUGGGCCGGUACUGACGAUGAGGCGCCAAAGAGCGGGGACCAAACAGGACUACAUCCCCUGGGAGACCUCCCUGAAAACGAUGAGCGCCGAACGUGCGGAUAUUCUAUCUCUGCGUCGAAGCUAACGCGAUAAGCACUCCGCCUGGCGACUACGGUCGCAAGACUAAAACUCAAAGGAACUGACGGGAACCCGCAAAAACGGUGGAGCAUGGCGAUUAAUUCUAAGCAACGCAAAAAGCAUUACCAAACACUGACUUAAACG